rnacentral:rRNA from 1 species
GUCCACGCUGUAAACGAUGUGUGCUAGACGUUGGGGGGUUGCCUCCCGGUGUCGCAGCCAACGCGUUAAGCACACCGCCUGGGGAGUACGGCCGCAAGGUUAAAACUCAAAGGAAUUGACGGGGGCCCGCACAAGCGGUGGAGCAUGUGGUUCAAUUCGACGCAACGCGAAGAACCUUACCAGCUCUUGACAUGGGUAGUAUGGGCCUGGGCGACUGGGCUCUUCAGUUCGGCUGGCUACCACACAGGUGCUGCAUGGCUGUCGU